GAUCAUGGCUCAGGAUGAACGCUGGCGGCGUGCUUAACACAUGCAAGUCGAACGGAACGCCAAGGAAAGAGUUUUCGGACAAUGGAAUUGGUUGUUUAGUGGCAGACGGGUGAGUAACGCGUGAGUAACCUGCCUUGGAGUGGGGAAUAACACAGUGAAAACUGUGCUAAUACCGCAUGACAUAUUGGUGUCGCAUGGCACUGAUAUCAAAGAUUUAUCG
rnacentral:rRNA from 1 species